rnacentral:misc_RNA from 1 species
GAUGAAGAACGCAGCGAAAUGCGAUACGUAAUGUGAAUUGCAGAAUUCAGUGAAUCAUCGAGUCUUUGAACGCACAUUGCGCCCCCUGGUAUUCCGGGGGGCAUGCCUGUCCGAGCGUCAUUGCUGCCCUCAAGCACGGCUUGUGUGUUGGGCCUCCGCCCCCCGGCUCCCGGGGGGCGGGCCCGAAAGGCAGCGGCGGCACCGCGUCCGGUCCUCGAGCGUAUGGGGCUUCGUCACCCGCUCCGUAGGCCCGGCCGGCGCCCGCCGGCGACCCCCCUCAAUCUUUCCAGGUUGACCUCGGAUCAGGUAGGGAUACCCGCUGAGCUUAAGCAUAUCAAUAAGCGGAGGA